AUGCCACCGGAUAGAGAUAUUGAGUUUUUGAUUGAGCUUUUGCCAGGCACAGGGCCAAUAUCUAAGAGACCAUAUAGAAUGCCCACAAAGGAUUUGGAAGAGAUUAAGAAGCAGAUUAAGGAGUUACUGGACAAAGGAUAUAUCCACCCAAGUUCUUCACCUUGGGGAUCGCCGGUACUUCUAGUGGAGAAGAAGGAUGGAUCGUUAAGGAUGGUUGUUGAUUAUCGAGGAUUGAAUGAAGUACCCAUCAAGAACAAGUACCCACUACCGAUGAUCAAUGAUCUGUUUGAUCGAUUGCAAGGAGCUAAGGUAUUUUCUAAGAUCGAUCUGCGAUCAGGAUACCAUCAGCUGAAGAUUCAAGAACAUGAUAUACCUAAGACGGCUUUUACCACCAGCUAUGGGCUGUACGAGUAUACCGUUAAGUCAUUUGGUCUGACUAACACACCUGCAUAUUUUAUGAACAUGAUGAACAAAGUGUUUAUGGAGUUUUUGGAUAAGUUCGUCGUAAUGUUCAUUGAUGAGAUCCUAGUUUACCCGAAGGAUGAAGAGGAGCAUAAGGAGCAUUUGCGUUUGGUACUUCGUAAGCUCAGAGAACAUCAGUUAUAUGCCAAGUUUAGCAAAUGUGAGUUUUGGUUGAAGGAAGUUGGAUUUCUCGGACACGUUAUAUCUGGAGAAGGUAUAGCAGUAGAUCCCACCAAGGUUGAUACUGUGACAAAUUGGGAAGCCCCAACAACAGUUGGAGAGAUCCGGAGUUUUCUUGGACUCGCAGGAUACUACCGGAGAUUCAUUGAAAAUUUCUCGAAGAUUUCAAAGCCUAUGACGGAGUUGUUGAAGAAGGAUACCAAGUUCAUAUGGACCGAGGAAUGUGAGGCCAGUUUCCAGGAGUUGAAGAAAUGUUUGGUUACAUCACCUGUGUUGAUUUUGCCAGAUCAGACCAAGGAUUAUGAGGUGUAUUGCGAUGCUUUACGUCGAGGACUUGGAGCAGUGCUUAUGCAAGAAGGAAGAGUUGUUUCAUAUGCCUCACGACAGCUC
rnacentral:rRNA from 1 species